rnacentral:rRNA from 1 species
UACAGAGGGUGCAAGCGUUGUUCGGAAUUAUUGGGCGUAAAGGGAGUGUAGGCGGUUGCCUAAGUCUUCUGUGAAAUCUACGGGCUUAGCCUGUAACGUGCAGAGGAAACUGGGUGACUUGAGUGUCGGAGAGGGUAGCGGAAUUCCCGGUGUAGAGGUGAAAUUCGUAGAUAUUGGGAAGAACACCGGUGGCGAAGGCGGCUCACUGGCUCGUAACUGACGCUCAUGCACGACAGCGUGGGGAUCAAACAGG